GACAACUAGCGUUACUACUGCAGCCCUUUUCAUUUUCCUUGUUGCACUAUUUGACCAUGCCACGUUCCAGCAAACGUUCUACAGCGGCCAAGAAGAACUGGUCUCGUUCAGAUCAUGAAUGCAAAAUUCAAUUUAACAUCAACUACGAAGAUGCACAUCAGAGUAGAAGGGUAUAUUCCAGGUUUCAGAAGUGAAACAAGGAACGUUUAAGGCAUACUUCACUGCUGUACUUCAGGAAGCCACCAAAACACAAAAAUGGUCAUCUUCAGGACUUCACCCCACAGAAACACAAUUGGUUUGUGUGUGAUGAAAAAAAUAGGAACCCAGUCAAAGUUGCAGACAUAAUGCUGACCCCAUCUCGCCAAAAUCAAGGACAGAAUGCUAUUUUCAUCAAUGAACGAUCCCAAUUGACAUGUGUGCAAAACUUGGCCUUUUGUUACGAUGAGUUUCUUCCAAACAACCAGCAGACCAGAUCAAUAACGACAUCAUUUCUGAUCCAAGAACACAUCGAAUAGAAAGUCACUUAAAAUGAUUUACCAUGUAAAAAAAUCAGAAGUGCUAUCCUAAUAUUAUACAUAUAAAUAAUGCAUCUGUUUCAAUGUCCUGUAAUAGGAAAUCAUGCCAAGGAACUUGCCAUUUGACUUUUUGUAAUACUAUAAUUUGUAACAGAUUUCACAUGAAACCUUGCAGUAAUCUGAAUGCAUAAAGGGGUUUUACAGUGUGUUGAUUUACUAAAAUGUUGUUUAAAUGUUUCCUGUGUGUGCAGGUAAAUGUACUGGUAAAAGUCUUGGAGCAGAGAGAAAAAGAGAAAAUCAUGACUAGGACCCACAAAGUGAUGGACAAACAGUGUAUGCUGUGUCUGACAUGACUGCCUCCAUCAUGGUCACGUGUGGGGAAAUGAUGUGUUGGUGAUAGACAAAUGGUACACUUUUAGAGAUGUGUCUGUCCGUUUUUUCUAUAGCAAAGUCCUGCUGACAACCACACCACAAAGCACUUUCAACAUUGCUGAAGAUUCAGGAGCAGCAAAACAUUGGUUAACCUGCUCAAUAUGAUUUUUCAUUGGGUGACAUGCCUCAAAAAACACAAAAUACAAAUUAGGUAACAAAUGAUACUAUAGUUGAAAUGUGUUUAUACUAUUUCUUAAAUUGUACCCAAUGUUUUCAAUUACAAACCUUUGUUUCAUGUUAAAAUGUAGCUGUAAUCCUUAAUCAUGUUGUGUAAUAUUGUUUUUCACUCAGUGAGAUCAUUGAAUGAUUACUAAAGAAUAAUUUGUUGAGUUUUUGUUUGUGCCUUGUUAUCACAAUUACAAAUCUCCUUGUU